ACAACUUCGAACGGAGGAAUUUUAAAGCUUUUAAUACUUGUGUAAGAUGGUUAAGGCAUUCAGCAAGAAUUGCAGCCACUAUAGGAGUCCCUAGGGACCCUUUGAAGGUUCUUGAGCUCAUUGUUCCAGACUUGCGUAUUAAAAGAUCCUAGAAACGUUUGAAGUCCACCGCUUGAUUGUGAGUUUUUGAAGUUUUAUAGUGCGAACGUCAAUUUUAAGGAUGGCUCACACUUUACCAAAAACUAUCAUUCAAAACUAGUAUGGAAUGUUUUCGGCAAAUUCUUCAAUUUAAUUCCAUAAAAACUCGAGUGACUAGAUUUACUCUUGAAAAAUCAUCGAAAAAACAUUUCUUUCUUAGUUUGGCCCCAUCUGACUUCGAUUCCUCGCUCCACUACUGUGAAUACAUACGAAUACAUAUGCAUAUACGCUGUGUGUGUGUGUGUGUGUGUAGAGAGAGAGAGAGAGAGAGAGAGAGAGAGAGAUUACGGGCGAUGGGCCGAAAAGGGCGGUAGACGACGGGUGCAGAGAUGGGUUUGGGCAAAGACAAUGUUGUUGGGGUAGGAAAUUGAGAUGCCACUGAACUGGGACGAGAGAAACCCUAGCUGGGAACCGGCCUUGGUUCCGAACACCGGUGGUCUGGAGAAGCGUAGAGUGGAGGAGUGGCCCACCCACAGUCCUGAACAGGAUGAUGAUGCUGUAACUACGGCCAUCGUUCCUUCUCUCUCUCUCUCUCUCUCU